rnacentral:rRNA from 1 species
AUUGAACGCUGGCGGCAGGCUUAACACAUGCAAGUCGAGCGGGGGAAGGUAGCUUGCUACCGGACCUAGCGGCGGACGGGUGAGUAAUGCUUAGGAAUCUGCCUAUUAGUGGGGGACAACAUCUCGAAAGGGAUGCUAAUACCGCAUACGUCCUACGGGAGAAAGCAGGGGAUCUUCGGACCUUGCGCUAAUAGAUGAGCCUAAGUCGGAUUAGCUAGUUGGUGGGGUAAAGGCCUACCAAGGCGACGAUCUGUAGCGGGUCUGAGAGGAUGAUCCGCCACACUGGGACGGAGACACGGCCCAGACUUCUACGGGAGGCAGCAGUGGGGAAUAUUGGACAAUGGGGGGAACCCUGAUCCAGCCAUGCCGCGUGUGUGAAGAAGGCCUUAUGGUUGUAAAGCACUUUAAGCGAGGAGGAGGCUACUUUAGUUAAUACCUAGAGAUAGUGGACGUUACUCGCAGAAUAAGCACCGGCUAACUCUGUGCCAGCAGCCGCAGUAA